rnacentral:misc_RNA from 1 species
GAUGAAGAACGUAGCGAAUUGCGAUACUUGGUGUGAAUUGCAGAAUCCCGUGAACCAUCGAGUCUUUGAACGCAAGUUGCGCCCGAAGCCAUCAGGUUGAGGGCACGUCUGCCUGGGCGUCACAUAUCGUUGCCCAAUGCCUAUUGCAGUGCAAUAGGAAUUUCUAGGGCGAAUGAUGGCUUCCCGUGAGCGUUGUUGCCUCGCGGUUGGUUGAAAAUCGAGUCCUUGGUAGGGUGUGCCAUGGUAGAUGGUGGUCGAGUUAGAACGAUACCGAUCAUGUGCAUGCUCCCCAAAAUAUGGCCUCUAUGACCCACACGCGUCUUUUGACGCUCAUGACGAGACCUCAGGUCAGGCGGGGCUACCCGCUGAAUUUAAGCAUAUCAAUAACGGAGGA